rnacentral:misc_RNA from 1 species
GAAAAAUACUAAAAUGGAACCGAAUUUAAUUAGGUGAGAAUUCCAAAAUGGAACAGGAUCCUAACUUGUUCCUUUAUUCCUAAUUUUGUCUUCAACAAGCAAAGGCCAGUGACGCAGCUAGAUAUAGGUAGACAAUCAGCAAGAGAAAAGGGCAAACGAAUGUUAAAGAGAUGGAUAAAAUCCCCACGAGACCUAGUGUACAUGUAACGGGCAAAUUUGCUUGUGACAUUAGGCACCAUCUUGUGUAAGUGGCUGGUUAAGCAUGGAGCCCCAGGCGCAAUCCGCAUUCUCCAUUUCCAAUGACCACACAAUCUCCUCAAACUUGUACAAUGGAAUAUCUAUGGAUUCCACAAAUGUCUCUGGAGUUUCACACAAAUAUUGGCCAGAAAACUCAUGAGCCAGUGAAGCUGUUGUGCAAGUGUCGUGGAGAGAAAACUCAAAAGAGUCUUCGAAACACCACUCUUCUGAUUUGGAGAUGGUACCUUCUUUAAGCCAGGGGAAAUCGAAUACUCCGAGAGCCAAAUGGUUGUCAGAGGAUUCACAGAUUUCGCUGUUGUCCUCGUGGUCAUAGCUGCUCAGUUCUUUGUUGAUAUUACCAAUGUCAAUGUUAAGAUGUUGCUUUUUUGCUGUCUUCUGUGACGAGUCCAUGGCCUCUUGCCUCUCUCUUCCUCUCUUGUUGCUCUCCGGCUCCAUUUUUGCUUAUUU